UGGGGAAUUUUGGACAAUGGGGGAAACCCUGAUCCAGCCAUCCCGCGUGUGCGAUGAAGGCCUUCGGGUUGUAAAGCCCUUUUGGCAGGAAAGAAACGUCAUGGGUUAAUACCCCGUGAAACUGACGGUACCUGCAGAAUAAGCACCGGCUAACUACGUGCCAGCAGCCGCGGUAAUACGUAGGGUGCAAGCGUUAAUCGGAAUUACUGGGCGUAAAGCGUGCGCAGGCGGUUCGGAAAGAAAGAUGUUAAAUCCCAGAGCUCAACUUUGGAACUGCAUUUAUAACUACCGGGCUAGAGUGUGUCAGAGGGAGGUGGAAUUCCGCGUGUAGCAGUGAAAUGCGUAGAUAUGCGGAGGAACACCGAUGGCGAAGGCAGCCUCCUGGGAUAACACUGACGCUCAUGCACGAAAGCGUGGGGAGCAAACAGG
rnacentral:rRNA from 1 species